UACAGAGGGUGCGAGCGUUAAUCGGAAUUACUGGGCGUAAAGCGUGCGUAGACGGUUAUUUAAGUCGGAUGUGAAAGCCCCGGGCUCAACCUGGGAAUUGCAUUCGAGACUGAAUAGCUAGGGUGCGGUAGAGGGAAGCGGAAUUUCCGGUGUAGCGGUGAAAUGCGUAGAUAUCGGAAGGAACAUCAGUGGCGAAAGCGGCUUCCUGGACCAGCACCGACGUCAGGCACGAAAGCGUGGGGAGCAAAC
rnacentral:rRNA from 1 species